AAUUCUCAACCUCUACCAGCUUUGCUGCUUGGUAUUGGCUUGGACAUGGGGGUUAUUUGUGCGGGCUCUUCACAGAGUCAGCUCCCCUGAAAUGCAUUAGUGGUGACCUUUAUGGACAUUGGUGUGAUAACUAUCUACGCCGCUGAACAUAUUGUUGUUUGCUGCUUCUAACAGUCCAUUGACUUGGACAACAAUGACAA
rnacentral:misc_RNA from 1 species